rnacentral:rRNA from 1 species
UGGGGAAUCUUAGACAAUGGGGGAAACCCUGAUCUAGCCAUGCCGCGUGAGCGAUGAAGGCCUUAGGGUUGUAAAGCUCUUUCAGCUGGGAAGAUAAUGACGGUACCAGCAGAAGAAGCCCCGGCUAACUCCGUGCCAGCAGCCGCGGUAAUACGGAGGGGGCUAGCGUUGUUCGGAAUUACUGGGCGUAAAGCGCACGUAGGCGGAUUAGUCAGUCAGAGGUGAAAUCCCAGGGCUCAACCCUGGAACUGCCUUUGAUACUGCUAGUCUUGAGGUCGAGAGAGGUGAGUGGAAUUCCGAGUGUAGAGGUGAAAUUCGUAGAUAUUCGGAGGAACACCAGUGGCGAAGGCGGCUCACUGGCUCGAUACUGACGCUGAGGUGCGAAAGUGUGGGGAGCAAACAGGAUUAGAUACCCUGGUAGUCCACGCCGUAAACGAUGAAUGCCAGUCGUCGGGUUGCAUGCAAUUCGGUGACACACCUAACGGAUUAAGCAUUCCGCCUGGGGAGUACGGUCGCAAGAUUAAAACUCAAAGGAAUUGAC